GCACGCCGGAAUCGCCGGGCACUCUGGGAAGGGUCAGGCUCCGGCGGGAAGGCGGAGCCGUUGGGGAGCUUGAGGGGAAGCGUGGUCUCUCCCGGAAAAACCACUUCCACCGAGAACGCUGAGCGAGAGCCAGCACCUGGAUGGAGCACCUAAGGGAAGUGUUCAGAAAGACAUGUUUGUUGAGAGUUCUUACCGUGAAAAAAUAAAAAGAUUUGAUGACUUUUCUAAGAUAAUGAA